ACGGGUGAGUAACACGUGAGUAACCUGCCCCUGACUCUGGGAUAAGCGUUGGAAACGACGUCUAAUACUGGAUAUGAUCACUGGCCGCAUGGUCUGGUGGUGGAAAGAUUUUUUGGUUGGGGAUGGACUCGCGGCCUAUCAGCUUGUUGGUGAGGUAAUGGCUCACCAAGGCGACGACGGGUAGCCGGCCUGAGAGGGUGACCGGCCACACUGGGACUGAGACACGGCCCAGACUCCUACGGGAGGCAGCAGUGGGGAAUAUUGCACAAUGGGCGAAAGCCUGAUGCAGCAACGCCGCGUGAGGGAUGACGGCCUUCGGGUUGUAAACCUCUUUUAGUAGGGAAGAAGCGAAAGUGACGGUACCUGCAGAAAAAGCACCGGCUAACUACGCGCCAGCAGCCGCGGUAAUACGUAGGGUGCAAGUGUUGUCCGGAAUUAUUGGGCGUAAAGAGCUCGUAGGCGGUUUGUCGCGUCUGCUGUGAAAUCCCGAGGCUCAACCUCGGGCUUGCAGUGGGUACGGGCAGACUAGAGUGCGGUAGGGGAGAUUGGAAUUCCUGGUGUAGCGGUGGAAUGCGCAGA
rnacentral:rRNA from 1 species